rnacentral:rRNA from 1 species
UACGAAGGGGGCUAGCGUUGCUCGGAAUCACUGGGCGUAAAGCGCACGUAGGCGGAUUGCUAAGUCAGGGGUGAAAUCCUGGAGCUCAACUCCAGAACUGCCUUUGAUACUGAGAAGCUUGAGUCCGGGAGAGGUGAGUGGAACUGCUAGUGUAGAGGUGAAAUUCGUAGAUAUUCGCAAGAACACCAGUGGCGAAGGCGGCUCACUGGCCCGGUACUGACGCUGAGGUGCGAAAGCGUGGGGAGCAAACAGG